rnacentral:rRNA from 1 species
GCCCUGCACUUCGGGAUAAGCUUGGGAAACUGGGUCUAAUACCGGAUAGGACUACGGACUGCAUGGUCUGUGGUGGAAAGCUUUUGCGGUGUGGGAUGGGCCCGCGGCCUAUCAGCUUGUUGGUGGGGUGAUGGCCUACCAAGGCGACGACGGGUAGCCGGCCUGAGAGGGUGUCCGGCCACACUGGGACUGAGAUACGGCCCAGACUCCUACGGGAGGCAGCAGUGGGGAAUAUUGCACAAUGGGCGCAAGCCUGAUGCAGCGACGCCGCGUGGGGGAUGACGGCCUUCGGGUUGUAAACCUCUUUCACCAUCGGCGAAGCCCGCAGCUUUUGUUGUGGGUGACGGUAGGUGGAGAAGAAGCACCGGCCAACUACGUG